GCACCGUUAGCUCAGUUGGUUAGAGCAUCCGGCUCAUAACCGGACGGUCGUAGGUUCGAGUCCUAUACGGUGCA
rnacentral:tRNA from 1 species